rnacentral:rRNA from 1 species
UACGUAGGGGGCUAGCGUUGUCCGGAUUUAUUGGGCGUAAAGAGCGUGUAGGCGGCCAGGUAGGUCCGCUGUGAAAGUCCGAGGCUCAACCUCGGAAUGUCGGCGGAAACCCUCUGGCUAGAGUCCGGAAGAGGAGAGUGGAAUUCCCGGUGUAGCGGUGAAAUGCGCAGAUAUCGGGAAGAACACGCGUGGCGAAGGCGGCUCUCUGGAACGGUACUGACGCUGAGACGCGAAAGCGUGGGGAGCGAACAGG